rnacentral:snRNA from 10 species
GUGCUUGCUUUGACAGCACAUAUACUAAAAAAUUGGAAUGAUACAGAGAAGAUUAGCAUGGCCACUGUGCAAGAAUGACAUGCAAAUUCAUGAAGCAUUCCCUUAAAAA